rnacentral:rRNA from 1 species
AACGAACGCUGGCGGCAUGCCUAACACAUGCAAGUCGAACGAGACCUUCGGGUCUAGUGGCGCCCGGGUGCGUAACGCGUGGGAACCUGCCCUUAGGUUCGGAAUAACUCCCCGAAAGGGGUGCUAAUACCGGAUAAUGUCUUCGGACCAAAGAUUUAUCGCCUUUGGAUGGGCCCGCGUUGGAUUAGCUAGUUGGUAGGGUAAAAGCCUACCAAGGCGACGAUCCAUAGCUGGUCUGUGAGGAUGAUCAGCCACACUGGGACUGAGACACGGCCCAGACUCCUACGGGAGGCAGCAGUGGGGAAUAUUGGACAAUGGGCGAAAGCCUGAUCCAGCAAUGCCGCGUGAGUGAUGAAGGCCUUAGGGUUGUAAAGCUCUUUUACCCGGGAUGAUAAUGACAGUACCGGGAGAAUAAGCUCCGGCUAACUCCGUG